rnacentral:lncRNA from 1 species
CCCCUCGAUGCAGAGUCAGUCGAUUUUCACCUUCAUUGCCGUCGGUAUCGCGGCUGCAUUUCUGCUGGUGCUUGUUGCGGUUAUUGUCUCAUGGAAACGCCGAAAGAAUAACAUUGCCUCCGAUGGAAACCAGCCUGUAGUUCGCUACACACGGACUGGAACCGACAGGCCCACGGCGUCUGUGAGUCCUGUUUUGAACACAGUCG